rnacentral:rRNA from 1 species
UGGGGAAUAUUGGCAAUGGAGGAAACUCUGAUCCAGCAAUUCUGUGUGUGUGAAGAAGGUUUUAGGACUGUAAAACACUUUUAGUAGGGAAGAAAAAAAUGACGGUACCUACAGAAGAAGCAACGGCUAAAUACGUGCCAGCAGCCGCGGUAAUACGUAUGUUGCGAGCGUUAUCCGGAAUUAUUGGGCUUAAAGGGCAUCUAGGCGGUAAGACAAGUUGAAGGUGAAAACCUGUGGCUCAACCAUAGGCUUGCCUACAAAACUGUUGAACUAGAGUACUGGAAAGGUGGGUGGAACUACACGAGUAGAGGUGAAAUUCGUAGAUAUGUGUAGGAAUGCCGAUGAUGAAGAUAACUCACUGGACAGAAACUGACGCUGAAGUGCGAAAGCUAGGGGAGCAAACAGG